rnacentral:rRNA from 1 species
AGAGUUUGAUCCUGGCUCAGGAUGAACGCUGGCGGCGUGCUUAACACAUGCAAGUCGAACGAACCUUCGGGUUAGUGGCGGACGGGUGAGUAACGCGUGAGAAUCUGCCCUCAGGAGGGGGAUAACGGUUGGAAACGACCGCUAAUACCCCAUAUGCCCAUGGGUGAAAUGAAUUUCGCCUGAGGAUGAGCUCGCGUCUGAUUAGCUAGUUGGUGAGGUAAUGGCUCACCAAGGCUUCGAUCAGUAGCUGGUCUGAGAGGAUGAUCAGCCACACUGGGACUGAGACACGGCCCAGACUCCUACGGGAGGCAGCAGUGGGGAAUUUUCCGCAAUGGGCGAAAGCCUGACGGAGCAACGCCGCGUGAGGGACGAAGGCCUCUGGGCUGUAAACCUCUUUUCUCAAGGAAGAAGAUAUGACGGUACUUGAGGAAUAAGCCACGGCUAAUUCCGUGCCAGCAGCCGCGGUAAUACGGGAGUGGCAAGCGUUAUCCGGAAUUAUUGGGCGUAAAGCGUCCGCAGGCGGCUUUUCAAGUCUGCUGUUAAAACGUGGAGCUUAACUCCAUCAUGGCAGUGGAAACUGAAAGGCUUGAGUAUGGUAGGGGCAGAGGGAAUUCCCGGUGUAGCGGUGAAAUGCGUAGAUAUCGGGAAGAACACCAGUGGCGAAGGCGCUCUGCUGGGCCAUUACUGACGCUCAUGGACGAAAGCCAGGGGAGCGAAAGGGAUUAGAUACCCCUGUAGUCCUGGCCGUAAACGAUGAACACUAGGUGUCGGGGGAAUCGACCCCUUCGGUGUCGUAGCUAACGCGUUAAGUGUUCCGCCUGGGGAGUACGCACGCAAGUGUGAAACUCAAAGGAAUUGACGGGGGCCCGCACAAGCGGUGGAGUAUGUGGUUUAAUUCGAUGCAACGCGAAGAACCUUACCAGGGUUUGACAUCCUGCGAACCUCUUAGAAAUUUGAGGGUGCCUUCGGGAAUGCAGUGACAGGUGGUGCAUGGCUGUCGUCAGCUCGUGUCGUGAGAUGUUGGGUUAAGUCCCGCAACGAGCGCAACCCACGUUUUUAGUUGCCAGCAUUUAGUUGGGCACUCUAGAAAGACCGCCGGUGAUAAACCGGAGGAAGGUGUGGAUGACGUCAAGUCAUCAUGCCCCUUACACCCUGGGCUACACACGUACUACAAUGCUACGGACAAAGGGCAGCAAACUCGCGAGAGCUAGCAAAUCCCAUAAACCGUGGCUCAGUUCAGAUCGUAGGCUGCAACUCGCCUACGUGAAGUAGGAAUCGCUAGUAAUCGCAGGUCAGCAUACUGCGGUGAAUACGUUCCCGGGCCUUGUACACACCGCCCGUCACACCAUGGAAGUUGGCCAUGCCCGAAGUCGUUACUCCAACCCUUGUGGAGGAGGACGCCGAAGGUGGGGCUAAUGACUGGGGUGAAGUCGUAACAAGGUAGCCGUACCGGAAGGUGCGGCUG